ensembl:lncRNA
GGUGCCUCUCCUGCUGUGUGACCUUGGGGGGAACGCUUAGCUUCUCUGAGCUUUGAUUUUUUUUAUUUUUUCAUCUGCUAAGUGGGGUUAAAUAAAUACCCACCUUUCAGGGCCCAGGAGAGUUAAUGGGGGGUCCGUGUGGGGACCAUGCAGGGGCCUGGCAUGUAGUAAGUGUUCAAUAAAAGAUGGUUUGGGGUAUCCUUUGUGAUUGCAGUGGGUGGCCCUCCUCAGGACCCUGCGGGCCCAGCCUGGCCACUGCAGACCCAGCACACAUGCUCGCGGCUGCCCCCAGCCAGCUGGGGGGAAACCUGAGCCACCCUCCUCCUGGGCAGAGGCUGUCACUGCCACUGCUGCCUCUGAAAUGAAAGAAAGGUCAGAGCCUAGGGAAGCCGGGCUGGGUGUGUGAUGGAGGCAGCCGGCAGGCGAGGAGGGGAGGGGUGGCCAGCGGCUGCCUGACUGCCCCGGUCUCUCCAGGGGAGGCCUGAACCAGCCUGGCCUGGGUGCAGGCCCCCUUGCCCCGGCUUUGACCCCCUGGCCCCGGCAGAGCCGCCUCCCAGCCUGCCCCUGGGGAGGGGCCACCUGGUGUCAAUUAAGCCCCAGCCACAAGGCUCACGCCACGCCAGGCGGCUGAUUAGUGCCGCUGGCCUCUCCAGAUGGGGAGCACGGCCUGAGAGGGGCGCCUGCCACCACGCCAGGAGACGGCCUCGCCGGAGCCGGAUCACUGGAUUUUCAGCCAGGCAUAAAAUGAUUCUGGGAAAGGAGACGGCAAAUUUCAGAAGAAAGAAGGCUUUCUCGUAUCAUUCUGAGUUUGAUGACUUGCUUCCCAAGUGCCAUUCCUGUUCAAAAAGAGAAUCCAUUUCCUGUGAGAGGGAAGUUUCUAAAGCCACUCCCUUCACUCAAGCCUCUUUAUGACCAUCCAUGGCUUCUCAGUUUCUUGGGACAAAGUCCAAGCUCAACUCAAGGCCCUGGACUCUUGCCAGCUCUCUCAUUCCUCCCAGCUUCACUUCACAUAGUCCAUCCAGACAGGACAGAACUUUUCCCCCAGCUCAGCACAUUUCCUCUUGCCCUCGCCUCUGCACCUGUGGCUCCUGCUGCCAGGACAGCCUAUCUCCCCACAGAGCAUCCCCUGCUGGUCCUUCCUGCCUCAGCGUAGACAUUGCCUCUGGCAGGAACUCUUGCUGGACUCUCCUAGGUCUUAUGUCCUCCCUUAGACUCUCAUACACACUCCACCGUAUCCCACCCAUAUC